GGAUGAAGAACGCAGCGAAAUGCGAAAAGUAAUGUGAAUUGCAGAAUUCAGUGAACCAUCGAAUCUUUGAACGCACAUUGCGCCCGCUGGAACUCCGGCGGGCACGCCUGUCCGAGCGUCAUUUCAACCCUCAAGCACAGCUUGGUGUUGGGACUCGCGUUAAUUCGCGUUCCCCAAAUUGAUUGGCGGUCACGUCGAGCUUCCAUAGCGUAGUAGUAAAACCCUCGUUACUGGUAAUCGUCGCGGCCACGCCGUUAAACCCCAACUUCUGAAUGUUGACCUCGGAUCAGGUAGGAAUACCCGCUGAACUUAAGCAUAUCAAUAAGCGGAGGA
rnacentral:misc_RNA from 1 species